CUGCAGCUCAAGUGGUAGCCGCUAUUAUUGGGCCUAAAACGUUCGUAGCCGGUUUAGUAAAUGCUUGGGUAAAUUGUGUCGCUUAACGAUACGAAUCCCGGGUAGACUGCUAAACUUGGGACCGGGAGAGGUUAGAGGUACUCCUGGGGUAGAGGUGAAAUUCUGUAAUCCUGGGGGGACCACCAGUGGCGAAGGCGUCUAACCAGAACGGGUCUGACGGUGAGGGACGAAGCCCUGGGGCUCAAACCGGAUUAGAUACCCGAGUAGUCC
rnacentral:rRNA from 1 species